GUGGGAGGGGGCUUGCCCCCGAUGGCUGUGUAUCAGUCAGCCUAUUUUAACCUGACCCACCGAUAUCGGGGGCAAGCCCCCUCCCAC
rnacentral:misc_RNA from 1 species